rnacentral:rRNA from 1 species
GACGAACGCUGGCGGCGUGCUUAACACAUGCAAGUCGAGCGGUAAGGCCCUUUCGGGGGUACACGAGCGGCGAACGGGUGAGUAACACGUGGGUGACCUGCCCUCAGCUCUGGGAUAAGCCUGGGAAACCGGGUCUAAUACCGGAUAUGACUCCAUGACGCAUGUUGUGGGGUGGAAAGCCUUGUGCGGCUGAGGAUGGGCCCGCGGCCUAUCAGCUUGUUGGUGGGGUGAUGGCCUACCAAGGCGACGACGGGUAGCCGGCCUGAGAGGGCGACCGGCCACACUGGGACUGAGACACGGCCCAGACUCCUACGGGAGGCAGCAGUGGGGAAUCUUGCGCAAUGGGCGAAAGCCUGACGCAGCGACGCCGCGUGAGGGAUGACGGCCUCGGUGUAACGUACUUCUA